rnacentral:rRNA from 1 species
AGGACGAACGCUGGCGGCGUGCUUAACACAUGCAAGUCAAGGGGGCCCAGCAAUGGGCAACCGGCGAACGGGUGCGUAACACGUGAGCAACCUACCGAACUGUGGGGGAUAGCCGGCCUAGCGGCCGAGUAAUACCGCAUACGCUCUCAGGGAGGCAUUUCUUUGAGAGGAAACCUACGGGACAGAUCGAGGGGCUCGCGGCCUAUCAGCUAGUUGGCGAGGUAACGGCUCACCAAGGCAACGACGGGUA